rnacentral:rRNA from 1 species
UACGUAGGGUGCAAGCGUUGUCCGGAAUUAUUGGGCGUAAAGAGCUCGUAGGCGGUUUGUCGCGUCUGCUGUGAAAACUCGGGGCUUAACUCCGGGCCUGCAGUGGGUACGGGCAGACUAGAGUGCGGUAGGGGAGACUGGAAUUCCUGGUGUAGCGGUGAAAUGCGCAGAUAUCAGGAGGAACACCGGUGGCGAAGGUGGGUCUCUGGGCCGUAACUGACGCUGAGGAGCGAAAGCGUGGGGAGCGAACAGG